rnacentral:lncRNA from 1 species
CUCAAAGCUAACUCCAAACCUCCUGAACACUAAAGUGAGAGCCAUACCGAAAGGCAAAUGUGCCUUGGACCUAUUCAAGGUUUCUCUCAUAGCUUCAAUCAUCAAUGCCAGGAGGUUCAGAGGGGUUUGAGUAAUGACAUGAUACAUAAUGCAGAUAUCCCGGCCAGAGAGGAGAUCAUGUCUACCACUUCUAGAGAAGAAUAACUUAGUUACCAUUUGGUGUAGAAGCCUCAUCUCAAUGGAAAGGAUCUUGGCCUCUAAUUUGUU